rnacentral:rRNA from 1 species
AACACCACAACCAGUGGUACUGCCNNUCUGGCCCAAUCAUGUUGUAUCCUGNANGGCAUUCGUGUCGGCUGGGUGUGAUCACAGGCAUUCUCGGUGGACGGUGAGCUUCGGUUCAUGUUAUCGGUCACUGGUUGUCAACGGGUCUGUUUGUCGGUGCUUUUGUAGUGCCUGAUGGAUGGCCUGGUGGACUGUGUUGGUAUGAAAAACUGUGCAGGGCACUGGAUGUAACGGCCUCGAAUCCGGGUUGGCACGCACACUACAAGUGCAGCAUGGUGGCGUUAAUGCGGCCUGUCGUUGGUUGGGUCUGAUUGUCGUGUUGCCUGCGGAAAGUGGGUUCGGCAGUGGCCUGGUGACGGUCGGUGUUGUUUUUAGCGCUAUCGUGUGUCAGCCGGUGUUGGUCUUAUAGUCUGUGGUGUAGUG